AGGACAAAUCUAGAGAUAUAAUCAAACAGAGCGGGAGAGUGAGAGGGGGGGGAGUGAACGGUAGGGGAUCUUGGGCAAAGGAGGUAAGACAGGAUAUGAAAACAAUAGACUCAUUGUAAGAGAUGAUAGAGGGAUGAGAAACAGAUCAGUGGAAUGCAGCACCAUCUACAGGCUAAUCAUGAUCACAAGAGGACAUUCUGAAGUGGGUGGGAUGGCUUUCCUUUUGAGAGUGGAUAUCAAAUGUGAUUGGGAAGAAUAAAUGAUGAAUUCAUUGUAGUGACACGGAUGAAAUCGCUUUGAUAAGAGAUGGAUUAUGUCGGUUUUAUAUCUGCAACAUGAGAAGAAGUGACCAUUUUUCUAGCCCCACCACCUUUCCUGUGCCAAAAAUGCCAACUGUAACAACAAAGAGUGGCAGAUGCCAAGGGAAUCCCAGACGAAUGACCUCCAUGAAGCCGACCUACCAAAGAGAAGCAAAUAUUUACCCUGCGUGUUUGAACCCAUGGCACAGUGCCAUGACUGUCCCUCAGAGCGCAUACCGGGCCGAUAGGUUUACCAGCCUUUAAUUUAACUCCCUGGGAGUCUUGGGUAUACCCUACGUGACACCAGUUAAAGGCUUUUCGAUUAUCGAUGAUUGCAUCGUGGAGAGGAAGACAUCAGGACAAGGCAUGUUUGGGAAAUAUGAAAGCAAUUUUCCAGGUCCAGCUCAUCCCAGAGCUCAGCCACCCUGAGACCAGUGUCUCCUUACGGGACACAAACUUCAAAGUCCAUUUUGGAGGGACUGAUCUGAAGAACGCGAACCAGUCUCUGAUAACCAACACAGCAGUCGGGAUCAGUGGAGAAGCCACCAAAUGAGAUCUCCUGGGCAUCAAACACACACAAUACAUAAAAUAUGUGCAUAUCAUAUUAAUGUGCGGUUCUAUUCUUCUGUCGAGGUGAAGCUGGAUGAAAUAUGCUGACUUUCUUGACUGAGCAUGAUUUACUUAUCUGUCAUCUUUAAACAAUAUUACACAAAACACACAUAUUAGUUGUAGUUUUCCUUGAAUCUUUGACUUUUGCAAGCAUUUCCAGGUCAUAUAGUGCGAGACAAUGCAUAUAACCCACCUGUGCACUCAGUGACCACAUAACCCAUAAUACUCCAUCAGAUUACCAUCAAGAAAUGAGCUCUCAAAUCAGACUUUAAUCCCUCAGGAGAAAAAAACAACAGCAACAUGCCAUCAUACUGUAUACGACAGCUGUGCAAGAUCUCAACCUGGAAGAAGAAAAUGACCACUUUGUUGCUGUGUCAGCCAUCAUUUUAACGAAAUAUCUGACUUAAUCUGAUAAAAGGACACAGAUUAGGUGCAGUGCAAAUUGAGGAACUAUGAUAAACUUUGAAAUGUCAGUCUGGAUUAGGGUAUUGUCCUUUAAUCUCACUCCCACCGUGCUGGAUCGUAAUCCCUGUCUCCUGUAGGAGCAGUUGUCAAACACAUGAUGGGAAA